rnacentral:rRNA from 1 species
UACGAAGGGGGCUAGCGUUGCUCGGAAUCACUGGGCGUAAAGGGUGCGUAGGCGGGUCUUUUAAGUCAGGGGUGAAAUCCUGGAGCUCAACUCCAGAACUGCCUUUGAUACUGAGAAGCUUGAGUCCGGGAGAGGUGAGUGGAACUGCGAGUGUAGAGGUGAAGUUCGUAGAUAUUCGGAGGAACACCAGUGGCGAAGGCGGCUCACUGGUCCGGUACUGACGCUGAGGUGCGAAAGCGUGGGGAGCAAACAGG